rnacentral:rRNA from 1 species
AUGGGCGAAAGCCUGAUGCAGCCAUGCCGCGUGUGUGAAGAAGGUUGCUUCGGAUGUGUGAAAGCACUUUAAGUGUGGGAGGAAGGGUUGUAGAUUAAUACUCUGCAAUUUUGACGUNUACCGACAGAAUAAGCACCGGCUAACUCUGUGCCAGCAGCCGCGGUAAUACAGAGGGUGCAAGCGUUAAUCGGAAUUACUGGGCGUAAAGCGCGCGUAGGUGGUUUGUUAAGUUGGAUGUGAAAUCCCCGGGCUCAACCUGGGAACUGCAUUCAAAACUGACUGACUAGAGUAUGGUAGAGGGUGGUGGAAUUUCCUGUGUAGCGGUGAAAUGCGUAGAUAUAGGAAGGAACACCAGUGGCGAAGGCGACCACCUGGACUAAUACUGACACUGAGGUGCGANAGCGUGGGGAGCAAACAGGAUUAGAUACCCUGGUAGUCCACGCCGUAAACGAUGUCAACUAGCCGUUGGAAGCCUUGAGCUUUUAGUGGCGCAGCUAACGCAUNNAAGUUGACCGCCUGGG